GACGAACGCUGGCGGCGUGCUUAAUACAUGCAAGUCAACUGAACUUUAGGUAGCAUAUUUAAAGGGAGGUGGCGCACGGGUGAGUAACACGUAGGUAAUCUGCCUUCAGGACUGACAUAAUUCCGCGAAAGACGGGACUAAAAUACAGAUGAUGCAGCGGCUCGACAUCGAGACAGUUGUUAAACCUUCGGGCCGUGAAGAUGAGCCUGCGUCUGAUUAGGUAGUUGGCGGGGUAAAGACCCACCAAGCCUGCGAUCAGUAGCUGGUCUGAGAGGAUGAUCAGCCACACUGGAACUGAGACACGGUCCAGACUCCUACGGGAGGCAGCAGUAAGGAAUAUUGCUCAAUGGCCGAAAGGCUGAAGCAGC
rnacentral:rRNA from 1 species